UCCGUCAGUCUCUCAACGCGUAAUGGCAAAAUCGUUUUAAAUAGCGCCGUUGAGGGACUAUAUGGGAAACUAAAAGUGACGCGAAUAGCCUAUUGGCGCUUUCGAAUUAAGAGCGGGAGAAAAUUUCUCCGGAUCUGCUUCUCUCCUCUGCGAUCUGGUUAGGGAUUUUGAUUCUCCUUGAAAUUCUUGGAUCUUAUUUUGUUUUGCAAUUGAUCUUCAAUUUGAUUUUAGGCGCGCCGUGCGCGAAGGGGAAGAACUCUCUCCGGAUCUGCUUCUCUCUCCUCGGUGAUCUGUGUAGGGUUUCUCUCCUUAAAAUUCUAGCAUCUUUUUUCGUUUUAGUUUUUUUUGGUCGAAUUGAUUCUUAGGUGGUUGAAUUAGAUGUUAUGCGCUCAAUAGAGAGGAACAAAACUCUUCUCUCUCCCGUCGGUGAUCUGGUCAGGGUUUAGAUUUCCUUAAAUCUCCUUAAAAUCUAGAAUCUUUAAUUUUUUUUUUAGAAUUCACGCUUAAUCUGUUGAAAACAGGGCUCAUGGAAUACUGUUUAAGAUUCAUGAUCGGGUGAAGAAGAUCCAUAUCAAACACGCUUAAUCUCUUCUCUCUCUCUAGAAUGGAUUACUCUCUGCAAUCUCUGAUCCUUAACCUUCUCCACUCUUCUUCCUCAGCGAGACUUUCUCUUUUGCUCUUAGAUGUGGACUCAUGGCAGUUGUAAAGUGGAAGUGUUUAACAUACAAGUUUUCGUAGUGUGUUUUUUUGGUAUCGUUCUUGUUUUACUGAGAUGGACUCGUAAUUAGGUUAGAUCUAUGUUUAGUUUUGCUUCUCAUUCUGUUCAUACUUGUUUCUUGUACUUGCUGUUGCGCGUUUUGGCCCUGUAAAGUGUAAGUGUUUAACAUGCAACUAUGCAAAUUUUCGUAGUGUGUUUUUUUGGUAUUGUUCUUGUUUAUCUGAGAUGGACUCGUAAUUAGGUUAGAUCUAUGUUUAGUUUUGCUUCUCAUUCUGUUCAUACUUGUUUCUUGUACUUGCGUAUGUUGUGCAAUUUAUAUCUGUUUCUAGUUCUUUCAGUGCAAUGUUUAUGAGCUUGUGUUGUUCAGUGAAUGCUGUUGAAUUACUUGGUUUACGAGUUCUUUUAUAAAUUAAAUGCAUAGACACUUUCAUUUUUAUAUCAACGGUGCCCAUCCUCUUUUUUGAAAAGAGUCAAAGACAUAACCAAAAUUCAUUAGAUUAUGAAAUUGGGGUGAAUUUCGCUGUUCAAAAACUUUCUGCAGUUGAAAGAUCUAGUGUGUUAGAUAUUCAUUAGUGAUUGAACUCUGUUGUGUGACUUUGUGAUGUUAUGUGUUACUUGUUGGAAAUGUUAACAAGCCAUUGCUAUGUUUUCAAUUUUUCAUGGUUGAGGAUGGGAAUAUAUUGCACUGUCAUUUUUCGCUAUUUCUUACUGUGCAGUUAUAUUUCUUUGCUUUUUCGAUAUACUUGAACUUAUUUGAUUUCAUGCGCAUAGUUUUAACUUUGUGAUAGUUUUGACCUUGUAUCUGAUCAUCAAGUGAAUAUACGGAAGGAAGCAGCUGUUGAAAUGGUUCAAAUUGUUGUGAUGAUUAUGGGUUUUCUUUUCCAGAUUGACCAUGCAAAUUACAAGAGGAUCUCAUCUGUUUUGGAGUAAAUCAAGGUAAUAUGCUUGGCGGCAUACCGGACCUAAGUAUGCCGCCAACUUGAUUUACCUUGCUGCUUCUGUGCUGAGAUGAUUACUAAUGUUGCUCUCUGGCUCUCUGCCUAUUUGAGGCAGUUAAGGUUUGAGUACAAACUCAGCCUGGUUUUACUAGGAGUGUUUUGAACGGACUUCCCAACUUUGUUAAAUCAGUGGGAGACUCUAGAGGUUCUACAAAGGCCUUGUUCCUCUCGUAGUGGAUUAAAUUCCAUGUAUGUGGCAAACUUUUUAUGUUAUAUAUCAUUUAUUUGUGGAUGCUGUUAAUAGCAAUAUCUGUCUCCUGAUGUGUAAUACUAUUAAGCGUUGCUCAUGUUCCUUUUUUUUUUUUCAAAUGUGAUUCCAUCAUCUAUAAUAUGCUUCUUCUUGUGUG